rnacentral:lncRNA from 1 species
GUCUUUUCGGGGUCGAGUCCGAGGGGGAAGAGGUUUGUUAAUACGUUCGCCAUGUGCUACGAUCUUGGGACGAACUGAGCCACGAGCGUGGCUUUGAGGGCCGUCCGAACGCUGCAGGCCGGCCAGGUCCCUGGGCGUCCAGGCCUGGCCUACGCACCACUUUGUCCCUUAGCGUUUAAAGGUUUCUUCCCGAAUCUCAGGCCCUCAGCUACCUGCAGGUUUCGUCGCGAGCCGGCUGCAAGUUUUGAACCUAAGUAAACCUCAAUCCGGAGGGCCUAGCGGUAAGGUGGGCGCUGUGUCUAUUGAAGUGCUUAGCAAUAAAGAA